rnacentral:rRNA from 1 species
UACGUAGGGACCGAGCGUUGUCCGGAAUCAUUGGGCGUAAAGAGCGUGUAGGCGGCCAUUUAAGUCCUGCGUGAAAUCCUGCGGCUCAACCGCAGACGGUCGUGGGAAACUGGAUGGCUAGAGUGCGGGAGAGGAGAGUGGAAUUCCCGGUGUAGCGGUGAAAUGCGCAGAUAUCGGGAAGAACACCCGUGGCGAAGGCGGCUCUCUGGAACGCAACUGACGCUGAGACGCGAAAGCGUGGGGAGCAAACAGG